CCUACGGGAGGCAGCAGUGAGGAAUAUUGGUCAAUGGGCGUAAGCCUGAACCAGCAAAGUCGCGUGAGGGAUGAAGGUUCUAUGGAUCGUAAACCUCUUUUAUAAGGGAAUAAAGUGUGGGACGUGUCUUAUUUUGUAUGUACCUUAUGAAUAAGGAUCGGCUAACUCCGUGCCAGCAGCCGCGGUAAUACGGAGGAUUCGAGCGUUAUCCGGAUUUAUUGGGUUUAAAGGGUGCGUAGGCGGGCCUAUAAGUCAGCGGUGAAAGUCUGUGGCUCAACCAUAGAAUUGCCGUUGAAACUGGGGGGCUUGAGUAUGUUUGAGGCAGGCGGAAUGCGUGGUGUAGCGGUGAAAUGCUUAGAUAUCACGCAGAACCCCGGUGGCGAAGGCAGCCCGCCAGGCCAUGACUGACGCUGAUGCACGAAAGCGUGGGGAUCAAACAGGAUUAGAUACCCGGGUAGUC
rnacentral:rRNA from 1 species